rnacentral:rRNA from 1 species
UACGUAGGGGGCAAGCGUUGUCCGGAUUUAUUGGGCGUAAAGAGCUCGUAGGCGGUUUGUCGCGUCUGCUGUGAAAACUCGGGGCUUAACCCCGGGCCUGCAGUGGGUACGGGCAGACUAGAGUGCGGUAGGGGAGACUGGAAUUCCUGGUGUAGCGGUGAAAUGCGCAGAUAUCAGGAGGAACACCGGUGGCGAAGGCGGGUCUCUGGGCAGUAACUGACGCUGAGGAGCGAAAGCGUGGGGAGCGAACAGG